AUAAUGAGAGGUUCGUAAGAGUGAUGACUGGGUGUUCGUGCCACUGUGUGACAUGUGAUGCCAAGAAACCUCAUUAUGAUGUUGGCAGAUGACCAUCUGACA